GUGAUUUGAUUUAGUCCAUAUGUCAAAUUUGUCAAAUUUGCCGCCGCCUGCCUCCUCCCGUACUCGCGCCCUCUCUCCUCUUCACAGUCGCGGCUCCCCACCCUCUUCCUCCCUUCCCCGCGCCGCCAUCUCCACCUCCUCCCCUGCGGCCGCCACCUCUGGCUCCUCCCCUCUCGCCGCUCGUCUUCCUCCUCCCGUAUCCCAUCCCCGUCGCGCCCCCCUCCUCCCCACGAAAUCGCAAGCGGCCCUGCCUUGUGCUAGCCACUCGUGGUCAUGAAGGGCGGCGGAGCCAGGAGCGGUGGAUUGAUGCGGAUGCGACUGCGGCUCACCCUGUAGAGAGGAUCGAGGACGGCAUUGGGUGGUUGCUCUGGAUCCCAUCAUCAGAAGGGAAGGGAAAAGAAGAGGGUGAGCGAGCAAGUCAGGCGGCGGCCAUGGUGCUCGCAGAUCCGCCGGCGCCGUCGUCCGACCUCGGCCUCCGAGUGCUUCUGCUCUGCGGGCGUGACGGUACGGGCUGCCUGCUCCGCGCCCAUGCCAUGGCUUGCUUGGGACACCGUCCUCCCACCUGCUCCAACCCUAAUCCUAGCGUUUCUGCUGCUGGUCAAGGUGCUGCACACUUGCUUGAAAAGUUGAUAACGGAUCUCCACGCUGAUGGGCAAGACACUUUGUGCAUUGGGGAAAAAUGAGGAAGCUUUGGUUCCUUGGGAGCAAGGACAUGAGAUUGCUGUCCGUGACACAAUUGACCUGAAACAAUAGCUGGAAUUGAAAGAAUUAGUUUCUUCUGUCAAAAUUUAUGAGACAUUUGAGUGUGAAGAAGAUGUGGAUGCAUCACCAUGUGAUGCCAAACCAACCAAAGAUUUAUUAUUUUCAAGCUCUUUAAGGAUAUAGGCGAUGAUGCUAAUGUUGAAGAUCAAGGUGGACUUAAAGGAAUACAUGCAACCACCUUUGUAUGGCCAUUGGUUUUGUAGACUUCCAGUGCUUUCAGCAUCCAUCGUUCGCCUCCCGGUUCAUCCUGCGUUAGCCAAGGUCUUCUCCGCCUUGCUCUGAUGUUGUGAAAACUCAUGCAUGGCGACAACCCCCUCCAUGGUCCAGUUGCGGCAGCCUGUUCAUAACCAGUUCGGUGGUCGCCUUGCUGCUCUGUGCGCUAUUGGCUGCUGCCUUUGCUAUUUGGUCCAUAAGUUAAUGAUAUGGUCAUCCAGUUUUGAUGUAAAGAAGAUUGGUGGCAUUUUGUGUUGUCCACUACUAGCAGGGUUGCUUAGUCGAUCGUCUUUGGGGUCAGCUAGAGCAGUUUUUGUGGUCAUGGCAUGCUAUCAGUCUUAAGUCUAUAUACAAUCUUUUUUUGAUCAAUUACGGUAGGGAAAAUCCCUACCGUUUGUCAUUUUCUUAUUUAUAAUUAGAGGUCAGAUAUGUACAUGGUUUAAGAGGCUGUUUUUCUUUUUACAGAAUUUUGUUUUGCUGUUUUUCUAUCUAUAUCACUCAUUUUGUUGACAUGUUUAUUCAGAUGUGCCUAAUGUUUCUUUGUUUUCCUGGUUUCUCAAAACUAACAAAUGUUGUUCUCUGACAAAUUAGGAGGCUGAAGGUGGUAGCUUGCUGAACUCUCGUUUUGGAAAAAAAAUUGUAGAUGUGGAGUGCUCGUAAAGGAAUGCACGUACGUACGAAUAUGAUGUUUGCUUCCAUUCCCAACUUAUGAAAUGCAUCUUGCGAUACUCACGUGCUCGUGCAGCUGCUGGCUGGAUUUGUCACCCCCGCCUCUCCCUCGCACUCGCGCCCCCUUCCCCCGUUCUCCCGCGACGGCAUGGAUGCGCGGUGUAGGAGGCGGUUCCUCGCCGGUUGGACGGCGUUCAGGCGCAACCCCGACGCCCCCUGAGUUGAUGCCCUGGUCGUAUAGCUAUGCUAAAUUGAUAUGUUGUACUUGUGCUAGGGCGAUGAUGAUUAACCUUGGCUGAAAUAAGUGUGCCUUUGAGCAAUCGAGGCACCUGUGGGUAUCAAGUUGGAUCCUCCCUCUUGUCUCUAGAAUCGUUUUUGAUCCUGUGAUACUUGUUGUUCUGCCCUUGGAUGGUAUCAUUCUUGUAGAGUGAUAACCAGGGUAGCUCCACUGUAUAAACAGAUUGAUCUGGCGAUAAGAGAUGAUGGGGGUAGAUUAUAUGAUCGAGGAAAGACGAAUCUGAGCCCACUAUGCAAUGAACCUUGAACCCUUUUUAUUUGUAUUUAAAGGUGUUGCUUAUUUAUGCUUCAGUUAUUUAUAGCCGUCUUAUGUGGACAUUUCUUCUCUCUCAUACCUUUAUUGCAUAUAAGUUGUUCCUGAUGUUUUAUUGUUUGUUGUUGGUCCUUGAUUUAAUCUGGUUAAGAUAAACUGUGGGAAAUAGUUCUGGAUUUGUUGUGUGGUAGUUUGCAAGUGAAUUUGUGACUAUUUUGGAUUUAGAGUUGAACCCUCUUUUCUGCUGGUUUCCAUGACUCUCAGGUACCAACCUUCACUUUAUACCCACCUAUCAUCUGUUCUGCUGGUUUCCAUGUAUUGAUACUGUUACUUUGCUACAUGGUUCUCUGCUUUUAGUUGUGCAAUCUGAAAUAUGGUUCUUGGACUGUUUCAUGUAAGGCACGGGAUUUGCUAUAAGUCCGCAGACGGCAAGAGCAUGCUUAUGCUUGCUCUGUUACAAGACGAAAAGUUUAGAUUUCAUGGUUCAUAAUAUAAAAUGGCAUGUAUAGCUCUGUAUCCUUAAAUUCCCUGCAUUAUUCUCAUGGCCGUUGAAUAUUUCAUUUAACCACACAUAAAUGGUUAGGAACCAAAUAAAUUUAAUUUAUCUUCAAUACCCUCUCCAAAAUAUUUCUAUUGUCUGUAUUAGGAAGGAUCUAUAAGAGUUGCUGCUAUAUAUAUGUUGUGAUUCUUGUGAAUCCGCCCAUGUAGUUAAUAUGUGGUUCUUCAUUUUUUUUUCUUAGUUCAAGCCCCUGAGAUAAUGCUUUUAAAUUAUUAACUGACUAUAGUUCAAGAUUUAGUGAACAUGUCAACAUACAUGGUGAUCUUUACAACUUAUCUAUUUUUUCUGUGGGGCUUCUUCAAAUAUAAUAAAUUAGGAAUAAAUAAUGUGCAGUAAUCAUGUUUCUUUUCUUAUCACUAUACUUCAGUAAUGGUAUCUACACAAUGUAUACAUACUGCUAUCAUAGUGCAGUGUGAAUGAAGUGUGCUGCUUCUACUUGCAUAAAAGCAGAUAUUGACAUGCUCCUUAGCCAUGUGAUCUUCAAGGGCCUUUGGCUAUGUGUAUCACUUCACAGAUUAAGGAUGUAGCUACAAUCAUUAUUAGUCUUUUUGGUUAUCUUCCUUUAAAAAAAAAGCAGCUUAGAGACCUACUGGCUGCUCUGGAUCAAGAUUAUAAGCAGAUUUCGUAUAUUUGGACAACAGACAGAGAUUUUGUUUCAUAUAUGCAUAUGCCUUUAUUGUAUAAUUCAGUUCUGCCACCACAUUUUUACCACCUACAUGAAUUUCCCCUAUACCAGAUAUUAACGUUUGAAAUUAGUGACAUCUACUCAAAUAAAUAUCCACAGGUUGUGGCAUAGACAUGUUCACAUCAGCAAUCUUUUCUUUGAGAUAUCUGGCGGCCUUUCGUGUAAGUUCAAUGUAUCCAUUUAUCAUUCCAUUGCUUUCUUGAUUCAACAAUAACAAUAAAGGACUGCUAAAUUGUACUUUGUAGAGAAAGGGAUGACGUACACCUAGGUUAUGUAGGCUUAAGAGUAUCGAUAGUCUAACCGCACAUCAUUUUUUGUACACUCAGUAAUCUUUAAUGGUUUAUUAACACUAGCUAACCCGAAGUAUAUGUUUGUUAUUUGUGCCUUUUUCCUAACUUAUCCAUAGAAUAAUGAUCUUUAUUUUUAUCUGUUUUGUAGAACCAUCGAAUUCAAGUUAUCUUUGAGUACACGACAACUUCUGAAGUUCGUGCCAUCAUGCUUUAGUUUCCCACAUUGGCUGAGAUUAUGCAAACAAAAAGACGGUCUCAGGCACAAGAGCAUGAUGUGCUUGCGCCAGUUGCUUUCACACCAAGGCCACGCGGUUGAUCAUCUAAGCGCACCUAUGAAGUUGACCGACAAAGCAGUUGGACAGAGCUACUAAUUAAUUAGUAUGCCUAAUAGCUAUGGCUUUGUAGUUUGACCACCUCUACCGUCAGUAUGCCUGGCUUUUGCUUUCUUAUUAUGUUCCUGCUAUUAGUACUUCCUCUCUCGUGUUCGUGCUCUUAGUAUUGAACUUAAUGUCGUAGUUAUUAGCUUUUGUGGUCUAAUGAACUAACUGAGUGUUUAUAAUUUCAUGACGAUGUUGAGCUUGA